UGUCUUCAGGGCAGGGUGAAAUUCCCGAUCGGCGGUACAGUCCGCGAGCGUUAUACGCAUGAAUUGGUGAGAUUCCAAUACCGACAGUUAAAGUCUGGAUGGAAGAAGAUG
rnacentral:ncRNA from 1 species